rnacentral:rRNA from 1 species
UACAGAGGUGGCAAGCGUUGUUCGGAAUUACUGGGCGUAAAGGGCGCGUAGGCGGCCCGAUAAGUCCCGCGUGAAAGCCCCCGGCUCAACUGGGGAACUGCGCGGGAAACUGACGGGCUUGAGUUCGGGAGAGGGAAGCGGAAUUCCGGGUGUAGAGGUGAAAUUCGUAGAUAUCGGGAGGAACACCAGUGGCGAAGGCGGCGAUCUGGGAAGAUACUGACGCUAAGGUGCGAAAGCGUGGGGAGCAAACAGG